UACGUAGGGUGCGAGCGUUAAUCGGAAUUACUGGGCGUAAAGCGUGCGCAGGCGGUUUUGUAAGCCAGAUGUGAAAUCCCCGGGCUUAACCUGGGAACUGCAUUUGGGACUGCAAGGCUUGAGUACGGCAGGAGGGGGGUAGAAUUCCUGGUGUAGCAGUGAAAUGCGUAGAUAUCAGGAGGAAUACCGAUGGCGAAGGCAGCCCCCUGGGUCGAUACUGACGCUCAUGCACGAAAGCGUGGGGAGCAAACAGG
rnacentral:rRNA from 1 species